UGGGGAAUAUUGCACAAUGGGCGAAAGCCUGAUGCAGCAACGCCGCGUGAGUGAUGAAGGCCUUCGGGUUGUAAAGCUCUGUCUUCUGGGACGAUAAUGACGGUACCAGAGGAGGAAGCCACGGCUAACUACGUGCCAGCAGCCGCGGUAAUACGUAGGUGGCAAGCGUUGUCCGGAUUUACUGGGCGUAAAGGAUGCGUAGGCGGAUACUUAAGUCAGAUGUGAAAAUCCCGGGCUUAACUUGGGAACUGCAUUUGAAACUGGGUAUCUAGAGUGCGGGAGAGGAGAGUGGAAUUCCUAGUGUAGCGGUGAAAUGCGUAGAGAUUAGGAAGAACACCAGUGGCGAAGGCGACUUUCUGGACCGUAACUGACGCUGAGGCAUGAAAGCGUGGGGAGCAAACA
rnacentral:rRNA from 1 species